rnacentral:rRNA from 1 species
UACGAAAAAGGCAAGCGUUGUUCGGAAUUAUUGGGCGUAAAGGGCGCGUAGGCGGCGCCACAAGUCACUUGUGAAAACUCUAGGCUCAACUCAGAGCCUGCAAGCGAAACUGUGGUGCUGGAGUAUGGGAGAGGUGCGUGGAAUUCCCGGUGUAGCAGUGAAAUGCGUAGAUAUCGGGAGGAACACCUGUGGCGAAAGCGGCGCACUAGACCAUAACUGACACUGAGGCGCGAAAGCUAAAAGAGCAAACAGG